ensembl:lncRNA LINC01193 long intergenic non-protein coding RNA 1193
AGUAACACUCUGGGAGGGCUCAGGCCACAUCACGAAAUGUGACAGGAUAGCCUUGAACUCAUCAAUUGCUGGCAAGGUAAGCUGUCAUCAGUUGGAGGUAAGCAGAAGACAGUAGAGAGUACAGAGCCCUGGACUGUGACUCAGAGGAUGAGCACCAGAUCCAGUUUGCUGUGCCACAGUGGGGAUUUUGUAUCUCUGUGGACAUGUGGUACAAUGCUGCAUAUCCAUCGGCAUAUGGCCUCGGGAAAGGUUCCAGCCUAUCCAUGCACGAUGAAGCUUACUUAAGGGAUGAAGCCGGAAUGCUGGGUGUGCCAGUGCCGACAGCCGAAAGAAUCAACUGCCUGGUGUAUGAUGCUUUUAUGAAAACAAGCCCAGGGCCUCUUGCUUUCUUCUGUAUUAGAUUCUCUGGUGAAUAUUUUUAUUCAUCUCUGCCAGAAAUUGCCACAUAUAAUUACCUAGAAGCAUUACAAUAAACUGAUUUGGAAGUUAA